UGAAAAAUCGGUGGAUGAGGUGUGGUUAGGGGUGAAAUGCCAAUCGAACUAGGAGCUAGCUGGUUCUCCCCGAAAUGCGUUUAGGCACAGCGUUAGAUUUAUCUUACAGGAGGUAGAGCACUGGUUUUGUGCGGGCGGCGAAAUGUUGUACCAAACAAUGUCAAACUCCGAAUGCCUGUAAUGUUACUAUCUAGCAGUGAGACUACGAGUGCUAAGAUCCGUGGUCAAGAGGAAAACAGUCCAGAACGUCAGUUAAGGUCCCUAAUAUAUGCUAAGUGGUUAAGGAGGUAGAGUUGCUGCGACAACCAGGAGGUUGGCUUAGAAGCAGCCAUUCCUUGAAAGAGUGCGUAAUAGCUCACUGGUCAAGCGACUCCGCGCCGAAAAUACACCGGGACUCAAGCAUAUAACCGAAACUACGUGAUUAAAGUUUACUUUAAUCGGUAGGGGAGCGUUCUGUUGUAGGUUGAAGUCAGAUCGUAAGGACUGAUGGACGAAGCAGAAGUGAGAAUGUCGGCAUAAGUAGCGAAAACAUUGGUGAGAAUCCAAUGCACCGUAAACCUAAGGUUUCCCCUGGCAGGCUCGUCCGCGGGGGGUUAGUCGGAACCUAAGACGAGGCCCAAAGGCGUAGUCGAUGGACAUCAGGUUGAUAUUCCUGAACUAUCUGGUAAUCGUUAUCAGAUGCGGAGGGACGCAGGAGGAUAGGCAAGCAGCAGAUCGGUAGUUGCUGUUUAAGCGUGUAGGUAGAAGUAGUAGGAAAAUCCGCUAUUUCGUUAUAAACUGAGGCGUGAUGAGGAGAGUCUACGGACUCGAAGUUGUUGAAUCCACACUGCCAAGAAAAUCUUCGCAAUCGAGAUUAUCCGGUAUCCGUACCGUAAACCGCCACAGGUAGGUUGGUAGAAAAUACUAAGGUGCGCGAGACAACUCUCGCUAAGGAACUCUGCAAAAUCACCUCGUAACUUCGGGAGAAGAGGUACCCUGCUAGCGUGUAAGCACUUGCUGCUGAAGCGUGAUAGGGUCGCAGUGAAUAGGCCCAAGCGACUGUUUACCAAAAACACAGGUCUCUGCUAAGUCGAUUAAGACGAUGUAUAGGGGCUGACGCCUGCCCGGUGUCGGAAGGUUACGCGGAAGAGUUAGAACUUCGGUUCGAAGCCCUGAAGCUAAGCCCCGAUGAACGGCGGCCGUAACUAUAACGGUCCUAAGGUAGCGAAAUUCCUUGUCAGGUAAGUUCUGACCCGCACGAAUGGCGUAACGAUUUGGGCGCUGUCUCGGCGAGAGGCUCGGCGAAAUUGGAUUAUCCGUGAAGAUACGGAUUACGUGUACCAGGACAGAAAGACCCUAUUGAGCUUUACUGUAGCUUGAAAUUGAAUUCGGGUUCUUAUUGUGCAGUAUAGGUGGGAGACUUUGAAGCAAGAGCGUCAGCUUUUGUGGAGUCAUCGUUGAGAUACCACUCUGUAAUAAUUUGAAUUCUAACUGUGAUCCCUCUAACAACAGGGCACGGGACAGUUUCUGGUAGGCAGUUUGACUGGGGCGGUCGCCUCCUAAAAUGUAACGGAGGCGUUCAAAGGUUCCCUCAGGUUGGUCGGAAAUCAACCGUUGAGUGCAAUAGCAAAAGGGAGCUUGACUGUGAGACUCACAAGUCGAACAGGUACGAAAGUAGGAUAUAGUGAUCCGGUGGUUCUGUAUGGAAGG
rnacentral:rRNA from 1 species